UGAAAAUAAAGGAAGAGACCGUGAUAGAAGGGGUGAAGUGACCCUUGUGAAAAGGCGUGACAGAGAAGCGAUACAAUGAUUCUGUUAGAGAGAUAUGGGGAUGCAGAAAAAAACGGUGGAGAUUGCAGUGUCAAGUUCAAGAACCUUAUGAAUGAAAUAUCAAAAUCGCCAACUCUUUUGGAGAAGUAUUACUCAAUCCGCAAUGAGUGAUGGAUAGAUGUGGACGGAAUUUUCGGCUUUGUUCAUGAUAGAGUGAUAAAAGAUGAACUGCAGAUCAUCUCUGCAGGUAGCUGAAUUUAUCUUGAUGGGAAAAGUGAUAUGCAUUGAUUUUAAAUCCUUUGAUGCAUAUCUUGUGUGUGUUAAAACUGGGUACUUGUGCCACAAGAGGAUCCAGUUGAUAUGAUCUUCUAUGAGGAUUUAACUAGUGGUAAUUGCUUGUAUAGGAUGAAAGAUUUUGCCCUUUUGUUGUAUGCAUCAUAUCAAUUAGCUAAAUUUAUUUUGAUGAUUAAUUCCGUCAUCAACCAGGCUGAAAAACAAGCACAAGCGCCAAAAAAAAAAAAUUAUGGAAUCAUUGGAAUAUUUUUCUUUCUGGCUUGCAUGAUAUGGCAGACGACUUGGAAAUACUUGUGUGCUCCCCAUAAUACUAAAUCUGGUUCUUUUU